GUCUACAACCAUACCAACCUGAACGUGCCCAAUCUCGUCCGAGCUUGGAAGCUAAGCAGGGUCAGGUCUGGUUUGUCCUUGGAAAGGAGACACUAUCUGGAACUAAUUAAUAAAACUGGUUGAGGAGGAUA
rnacentral:rRNA from 1 species